rnacentral:tRNA from 1 species
GGAAGGCAGCCGGAUACGGUUUGCCGGGCCGCACUGCUAACGCGUGCCACCUUCGGGUGAUGAGGGUUCGACUCCCUCGCCUUCCG